rnacentral:rRNA from 1 species
UACGUAGGUGGCAAGCGUUGUCCGGAUUUACUGGGCGUAAAGAGCGCGCAGGCGGUCGUUCAAGUCGCGUGUGAAAGCCCCCGGCUCAACUGGGGAGGGUCACGCGAUACUGAUCGACUCGAAGGCAGGAGAGGGAAGUGGAAUUCCCGGUGUAGUGGUGAAAUGCGUAGGAUAUCGGGAGGAACACCAAUGGCGAAGGCAGCUCGCUGGGACGGUACUGACGCUGAGACGCGAAAGCGUGGGGAGCAAACAGG